rnacentral:rRNA from 1 species
UACGAAGGGUGCAAGCGUUGUUCGGAAUUACUGGGCGUAAAGCGCGCGUAGGCGGGUUAGAAAAGUCGAUUGUGAAAGCCCUGGGCUUAACCUGGGAAUGGCAGUCGAAAACUCCUAAUCUUGAAUGUCUGAGAGGAUGGCGGAAUUCCCGGUGUAGUAGUGAAAUACGUAGAUAUCGGGAAGAACACCUGAGGCGAAGGCGGCUAUCUGGCGGUACAUUGACGCUGAGGCGCGAAAGCGUGGGGAGCAAACAGG